rnacentral:SRP_RNA from 10 species
ACUAGAAAUUAAAGCCAUUGUCUACUAAGCAUAUAGGUCUGCAGGAGGAUGGCUUGCUUGAGCCCAGGAGUUCUGGGCUGUAGAAUGUGACACUGAAAGGUUACUGGUGCUAAGCUCGACAUCAAUAUGGUGACCUCCUGGGAGCAGGGGACCACCAGGGUGCCUAAGGAGGGGCGAACAAGCUCAGGUCAGAAACAGAUCAGAUCGGAACUCCUGCGCUGGUCAGUAGUGGGCUCACAUCUGUGAAUAGCCACUUCCCUCCAGCUGGGCAAUAUAGCCAGACUCUGUCU